CAGGAAGCACUGCUGGAUUCAGCCUGAAGCAUUCAAGUUUCAUAAAAGGAGAAGGUGCUAGGUGGUGGGGCUUCCCCAGGAGAAUUCAGGGCGUACUGGAGGUCAGCAACUGCAGUCCCUAAAGAAUUGAUCCUUGGAGAACAAGAUGGGGAGCAACAUUCUUUGUUUUAUACCCUCAAAGAGAGCAAUUCCUGGCCCCUCUUUUUUCUUCCUAUUGUGGUAAAAUAUAUAAAUAAAAAAUGUGCUGUUUUAAUCUUU